CUUAUUCAAUCCAAUUGGAGCAGUUCAAGUGUUUAACUGUCACAAGGCAGAGGGCUCGAAUCCUCCACGGUCAAGAAAAACCAAUGUUUGAAGCUAGAGUCUUUUCACAUUAUUGCAUUAACAAUAAUUCACAGGGGAGGUGGUUUGCUACCUCCUCGUUUCUAGAUUUCACAAUAGUUUCUUCUUUUCAUUUCCAAAUUCAUUCUUUUUCGUUUACUUAGGUAAAAGAGUCAAUAGCUCUCCACACUUCUAUUGGAAAUCCAUCUAGAGAGAGAGACUCUGACCUCUCUCUAAAUUUCCCUAACUGGCCUUUUACACUAUGGCCACUAAGUCAAUUGCCCAAGCAGAAGCAUCACCCCACAAAUACCACCGGACCCAGGAUGGAAGAGGACACCCCGGGGAGACUCUUCUUUAAGGAAAUUCUAGCAGGAAAUAAAUCUCCUAGUCAAAAAACACUACUUAUUCCCAUGAUAUGACUAUCAUAGCCGAGGAUGAAGUUUCACACUCUGAAUUAGAUCCGACAAUUCCAAGUGAAGAUGAAAAGAAAAGAACCUAUAUGCCUUAGCUCCUAGAGAUGUGACAACCGGAAGAACCCCUAAUCUUAAUUUUUUGUCGGGAUUUUUUCAUAGUCUAAAAACUGCCCUUCACGAAGGUACCUGGUUCAUACUAGGGCAUUUCCUUUCAGUUUGUAAAUAGAAACCAAAUUUUGUACCGGCUGAAACAAAACUUUCCUUCACAGGCAUAUGGAUCUGAAUUCAUCAAUUACCGAGUGAAUUCUCUGAUAGAAGCAUCAUAGAAAAAGUUGGUAAUAGAAUCGGCAAGCUCCUGAAAGUUGAUACUUACACCUCAUCAACCUUGAGAGGGAGUUAUGGAAGGAUUUGCGUCAAAGUUCCAUUGGAAACUCCAGUUAAAACAGUGGUUACCAUUAGUUCUCACCAGCAACCACUUGUGUAUGAGGGGGAAGGGAUACUCUUCAAGGGUUGUGGGUAAAUCGGUCAUAACCUAAAAGACUGCUCAUUCCAAACUAUCCCAACACCCCAAGUUCCACCCACAAAUAAUUCCCCAGCCAGGAAAGAUGCAAGUUGACAGCGAAUGGAAGACAACUGACUUUAAGAAAAAGAAGAAUGGUCAAACAACCAGUUCGACCAAAGAGUAUCAGGUCGGAUCCACUUCUCUGACUCGUGGCUGAUCGACUCUUCAGCUUCCACUUGAGUUUUCCAGGGUGAGCAUGGCGCCCGCUGACCUCGAAGACUCUUCUAUUACUUAUGUCUUGCUUACCAUUCAGAGACAUGAUUUGAGACUACUUAUGUAUUAUUAUUCAGAUCUUUAGCAUUCAGAUUUAGAUGCUCUUGUAUGACCAGACCAGAUACUGGGGUGGAUUUAAUUACUUCUGCACUUAUCUAUAUAAUAUCAUAUUGUGAGACUUACAUUA